rnacentral:rRNA from 1 species
UGUGAAAGCACCCUAAGACCUUUGUGAUCUUAUUCUAAACAACUAGAAGCUUAGCAGGGCUGAGCCUGGUCCGUAGCUGGAUGGAAAACCACAUGGGAAAACUAAGUUGCUUUUGAAA